rnacentral:rRNA from 1 species
AACGAACGCUGGCGGCGUGCCUAACACAUGCAAGUCGUACGAGAAAGUCCCCGCAAGGGGAUGAGUAAAGUGGCGCACGGGUGAGUAACGCGUGGGUAACCUACCCUUAAAUUGGGGAUAACUCCGCGAAAGCGGGGCUAAUACCGAAUAAUACCCCGUUUCCCUUGGGAGAUGGGGUCAAAGAUGGCCUCUGCAUGCAAGCUAUUGUUUAAGGAUGGGCCCGCGUACCAUUAGCUUGUUGGUAGGGUAACGGCCUACCAAGGCUGCGAUGGUUAGCUGGUCUGAGAGGAUGGCCAGCCACACUGGAACUGAGACACGGUCCAGACUCCUACGGGAGGCAG